UUCGCAAUGCCCGAAAGGGUGACGAAGCGACGCCGCGUGGGUGAGGAAGGCCUUCGGGUUGUAAAGCCCUGUCAGGAGUUAAGAAAUGUAAGUGUGCUAAUAUCGCAUUUACUUGACGAAGGCUCCAAAGGAAGUUACGGCUAACUCUGUGCCAGCAGCCGCGGUAAUACAGAGGUGGCAAGCGUUGUUCGGUAUUAUUGGGCGUAAAGAGCACGUAGGUGGUUUUGUAAGUCAGAUGUGAAAGCCUUCUGUUCAAAGGAAGAACGGCAUCUGAAACUGCGAAUCUUGAGUGUAGGAGGGGAGAGUGGAACUUCUGGUGGAGCGGUGAAAUGCGUAGAUAUCAGAAGGAACGUCGGCGGCGAAAGCGACUCUCUGGCCUAUUACUGACACUGAGUGUGCGAAAGUUAGGGGAGCAAACGGGAUUAGAUACCCCGGUAGUCCUAACUGUAAACGAUGGGCACUAAGUAGAGGGGUUUU
rnacentral:rRNA from 1 species